GCCCUGGUGGCAAAAUUGUUAAGCACUUGGCUACUAACCAAAAGAUUGGUGGUUCGAACCCACCUAGUGACU
rnacentral:tRNA from 1 species